rnacentral:rRNA from 1 species
CCCUACUCCUACGGGAGGCAGCAGUGGGGAAUAUUGCACAAUGGGCGCAAGCCUGAUGCAGCGACGCCGCGUGAGGGAUGACGGCCUUCGGGUUGUAAACCUCUUUCAGUAGGGAAGAAGCGAAAGUGACGGUACCUGCAGAAGAAGCGCCGGCUAACUACGUGCCAGCAGCCGCGGUAAUACGUAGGGCGCAAGCGUUAUCCGGAAUUAUUGGGCGUAAAGAGCUCGUAGGCGGUUUGUCGCGUCUGCCGUGAAAGUCCGGGGCUCAACUCCGGAUCUGCGGUGGGUACGGGCAGACUAGAGUGAUGUAGGGGAGACUGGAAUUCCUGGUGUAGCGGUGAAAUGCGCAGAUAUCAGGAGGAACACCGAUGGCGAAGGCAGGUCUCUGGGCAUUAACUGACGCUGAGGAGCGAAAGCAUGGGGAGCGAACAGGAUUAGAUACCCUGGUAGUCCAUGCCGUAAACGUUGGGCACUAGGUGUGGGGGACAUUCCACGUUUUCCGCGCCGUAGCUAACGCAUUAAGUGCCCCGCCUGGGGAGUACGGCCGCAAGGCUAAAACUCAAAGGAAUUGACGGGGGCCCGCACAAGCGGCGGAGCAUGCGGAUUAAUUCGAUGCAACGCGAAGAACCUUACCAAGGCUUGACAUGAACCGGUAAUACCUGGAGAGCAGGUGCCCCCGC